AUUGAACGCUGGCAGCAGGCUUAACACAUGCAAGUCGAGCGGAGAUGAGGUGCUUGCACCUUAUCUUAGCGGCGGACGGGUGAGUAAUGCUUAGGAAUCUGCCUAUUAGUGGGGGACAACAUUCCGAAAGGAAUGCUAAUACCGCAUACGCCCUACGGGGGAAAGCAGGGGAUCUUCGGACCUCGCGCUAAUAGAUGAGCCUAAGUCGGAUUAGCUAGUUGGUGGGGUAAAGGCCUACCAAGGCGACGAUCUGUAGCGGGUCUGAGAGGAUGAUCCGCCACACUGGGACUGAGACACGGCCCAGACUCCUACGGGAGGCAGCAGUGGGGAAUAUUGGACAAUGGGCGGAAGCCCGAUCCAGCCAUGCCGCGUGUGUGAAGAAGGCCUUUUGGUUGUAAGGCACUUUAAGCGAGGAGGAGGCUACCUGGAUUAAUACUCUAGGAUAGUGGACGUUACUCGCAGAAUAAGCACCGGCUAACUCUGUGCCAGCCGCCGCAGUAA
rnacentral:rRNA from 1 species